AUUACAUGACAUUACAUGUAGCGACCACAUGAUGUAUGAUUUAAUGUUCAUAUCGUUCUCAUUUGUCUCAGACGGUCCCAGCUGCUCUCUUACGUGCUUUGGUAUUAUUACAAUAACUCAAGAUAACUUUUUAAAAUCGAUUCUUCGAAAACUGAUGAGACCUUAGAAGAACUGGUAUGGCAAAACAACAGCCAAGAAGCAACAUAAGGAAAAUGCCCACUGUCAACACUUUCACGGAGUUGGAUGUUUGAGUUUCACUGUGCAGAAUGAGGUACUUGCAGACUUUGACACUAGAAGUAUGUUGUCACAUUCAUCUGCUGAAAGUGGAAGGUUUCUCUCUGCUCAUUGAAAAUCAGCAUGAUUUUUACAUCACACAUAGUUUGGAAGUCAAUUCUGGUCAAGUAUGCAACAUAUACAAGUGUGAUGUAGAAACUUGAAGCCACCAGUGCAAAUAGGAGACAUCUUGUGUUCAGCAGGAACACUUCAGAAAACUUGUUUUGCAUAUUCAUAGAUUUUGGAAUUUUUAAUGAAGGACUAGAUGCAUUUUGUAAAGAUUUUAUUGUGGAAAUUAUACAUUUUUUUGCAGAAGAAAUAUAACAGACACACAUUAUUGUUUCAAACAGUCAUGUCUUAAUAUGUACAAUUAAUAAUAUAACAAUGAAUACAAUUAAAUAAGCAUGCGCUCCAUUUACCCUGAAAUGUUUAUCUCUAAUAUGAUGUGAUCUCUGCAUAUAUAUGUACUUCAUUGACUUUUAUAAAUGUAUGU